UACGUAGGGGGCAAGCGUUGUCCGGAAUCAUUGGGCGUAAAGAGCGCGUAGGCGGCCCUGUAAGUCCGCUGUGAAAGUCAAGGGCUCAACCCUUGGAUGCCGGUGGAUACUGCAGGGCUAGAGUCCGGAAGAGGCGAGUGGAAUUCCUGGUGUAGAGGUGAAAUGCGCAGAUAUCAGGAGGAACACCGAUGGCGAAGGCAGCUCGCUGGGACGGUACUGACGCUGAGGCGCGAAAGCGUGGGGAGCAAACAGG
rnacentral:rRNA from 1 species